CUCCUCUGUAUGCCAAAGUGUUUUAGAGUCAAAUGUGAGGCUGUCUGUCCGACAGAUAAAGCUUCUUCUAAAUUAGGCCAUGCAACAGGAUAAUGACCCCAAGCACAGCAGCAAAUCUACAUCAUGGAAGUCCAGACCUCAACCUGACUGAAAUGCUGUGUAUAAAGGAAUGCUUGCAAAUGUCAUUGAUUUGAAGUUAUUGCUGCUAACUGCUGGUUCUGUUAACGACUCAAUCAUAGAAUGAUUACGAUAUCAAACUAAAACAAAUGCCUGAAUCCUAAAUUGUGGAUAUCCUAUUGUGGUGAUCUAAAAUGUAACACUAAAUGUGAUUAAAACACUAAUAAUCUGGACUCCAGGGCUGAACGACCGCGAGGAUCACCAGCCCGAGGAAAAGACAAAAUACACAUGACUCUGUGACAAAGACAAUUCAUUCUUGAAUGAAGACACUGAUCAGACACAUUUAAAAUGCAGUCAAUUUUGUUUAUUAUGAAAUUAUUGGGGAGAGAGGGGAGGGAGAGGAGAAGGGAAAAUUAAGCUGGAACAGAGGUGGAGGAAGAUGAGGCAGGAGUGGCCCUGCGGAGGAAGAAGCGGAAGCACUUUUUCUUCUUCUUGAGUUGCUUUUCCACAAGCACUUUCUUCUCUAGUAUGAGGGAUCUCAACUCGUCCACUGUUUCUGUAUUUUGCUUCUUAAGUUUGUUGCAUAUUUUUUCCACUUCUUCUGAUUUGGCUUGUUCUUCUUUGAGCCUUUCUUUGAGUUCUUUAGCUGUUGCCUCCUGUUUUUGCACUUUCUCCUUUUCUCCUUCCAGUUCAGCUGUUGUGUGCUUAAUUUUGUUGCCAAGUUCUUGCAGUUUUUGCACUUUCUCCUUUUCUCCUUCCAGUUCAGCUGUUGUGUGCUUAAUUUUGUUGCCAAGUUCUUGCAGUUUUUGCUUUGUCUUCUCAAAGUCUUGGACAAGAAGAAGUUUUUCUUUGUUCUGCUUUAUGUCCUGUUGUUCUUUUUCUUGACACAGCUCUUCAUAUUUGUUCCGUGUUUCAUGAUGUAUUGCCUGCAGUGCUCUGUAUUUUCCUUCCAUGCCUUGGAGCUGGCAUUGCAUUUCUCCCUGGUUUAUGACCAGUUCUUCUUUCACUUCAAGGAUUUCUGUAUUUUUUUGGAAAGCUUCAUCGAGCUUUACUUGCAAGCAUUCAUUGUUUUUCUCCAUGUUCUGAAUCUUGCAAUCUAGUUCUUUUUGUUUCAUCUCCUGUUGCUUUUUCUCUUGCAGCAACUCGUCAUAUUUGUGCAUUGUUUCUUUAAGCCCUGCCUGCAGCAUCCUGUCUUUUCCCUCCAUGUGUUGGAGUUGCCUCUCCAUGUCUCGCUUCUUUAUGUCCUCUUGGUUCUUCUCUUCGAGGAUCGCUUCAUUUAUUUGCAGAGCUUCAUCAAGCUUUAUUUGCAGCUCGUCAUUUUCUUUCUUGAUGUCUUUAAGCUCGCGGCCCAUUCGCCUUUGUUUGAUCUGCUGCUGCCUUUUCUCUUGAAGAACCUCUUUAUUUGUUUCCUGAUUUUUAUCAUCCCUUGCUUUUACCACUCUGUAUUUCAUCUCCAUCUUUUCAAGUUCAUCAUGCAUCUGUCUUUCUCUCAUGUCCUGUUGUUUCUUCUCCUGGAGGAUUUCUUUAAUUUUUUCUAGAGCUUCAUCCAGGUUUCCUUGGAGCUCUUGGUUCCUUUCCUCCAUGUCUUUGAUAUCCCACUGUUUUUCAUCAAUAAUACUCUCCUUUUCCUGGAGCAGGUAGGACAUUUUUUUUAAUUGAGCGCUCUGUCUCUCAUUUUCCUCCAUCAAUAAGGCAAUCUUCUCUCUGUUAAGAAGAUUUUCAUUCUCCAUUUCUGCCAAGUGCUUCUCCUCUAAUUCAACUUGCUCAGCCCAGGGAAGAGAGGAGAGGUAAGGGUCUUCUGGUUCAUCCCAGUGAAGAGCGCCGGGGUCAACUUCUUGACUUUUUGGUUCUUCUCCUUGAGACAUGUUGGAGUCUGGAGUCAGGAUCCAAAUGUGUCCAAAUGCUUCUCUGGCGAACAGUUGAGGGCUGCAAACAGAAAUACUGCCAGUAAUGGACUAAAUGUCGUUGUUUUUCACCGUUAUUUGUCGGUUUUAGGAUCAAAUGAUCACGUUGGUGGUAAGACUCUAAAUCUGUGUCACGAACAGUCGAAGGCUGCGAACAUAAAUGCUGCAAAUAACAGACUAAAAGUUGUUGCUUCUCACCCCUAUUUAUGGGUUUAAGGAUCAAAGGCUCAAAGUGGUGGUAAGAUUCUAAAUGGGUGCGAUGUCACGAUUCUGGACAACAUGGUUACCAUAGUUAGAAUAAUAAACUUUAUGAUGUGUUGCUAACAUUUUGGUUGUUGUGAUGAUUCAAAUUUGUUCAGUAAACUUCAUCAAAAUGAACAUGUGUUGACAUAAGCAUAUAUUUGGAUCUCAUAUCUUCUUAUUAAAUGUAGCUAAUGUCCAAUAAGAUAAGAUAAGAUAACCUUUAUUAGUCCCACACGUGGGAAAUUUGUUUUGUCACAGCAGGAAGUGGACAGUGCAAAAGUUAUGAAGCAAAAAUUAGAAUGAAAUAAAAUAAGAAUAAGAAUAAAUACAGUACACUGUAUUUAUAAAAAACUGAACUCUGGGACUUACUCAACACUAAUA
rnacentral:lncRNA from 1 species